UGGGAGAGUAAAGAAGAGAGAGAAAGAAGAAGAAAGGAAAACGAGGAAGAAUAAGAAGAAAGAAGAAGGGGAAUCGACCGUAGAGCUUCACUGAAGCUGAGUCUGGGUAUUUUGAGCCAGGAUGAAUGAUUAGCUCACUGGGAUCUUCGAUUCUAUGAUUGGAAGGAGUGUUGGCAAAAAUCUAGAGUGGAAGUUCUUGAGCAAAAGAAGUGAAAUUUGGGGUUUCAUUGGUGUUCUUAAGAAAGAGGUUACACUCAUUAUACACGUACCCACACACGAAUUUCUUACGUGUCGGGUACAAGCACCGUGUACAUAUACAGGUGAUUUUACAGGCUACCUUCCUGGAGAUCAGGAGUCAAGCCCCACCGUGGAGUUUCCCUCUGAGGACUGGUGGGUCCCUAAUGAGUUCGAGCAUGAUGCCGAUUGCACGUGCGAGGAUCGUGCUGCAUGGCAGCAGUGACCUAUGGGUACAGUCAUGCCUAUGGCUUGUGACUCUCUUUCCUUUGGACCCGAGUAUGGAGUGAGCGAUUGGUGGAUGCCAGAAUUAGGGGAGCAUGACCAGGAUUGUGCCUGUGAUGUAUGUGCUUACGUGGCACCAUGAGUAUUUUGUUAUUUUGAUACAAAUUUGUGAAUGGUAUACUUUGAACUAAUUUUAUAAGUCUCAGAUAUUUGUAACCAGAUAAAUUGGUUUUGGAUAUUUACAGUAUCACUUGAUGUUCCCCAUUUUA